UUUAAGCUUUUAAACCUUGAAACAAAGCUGAUAAAGGAACAUAUACAUCAACCACACGGUAAUCAAUAUAUCGAGACGAUUCAAUCCAUCUACCAUUCACCACAAUCUUUACCUGUUGUAAAGCCAUCACAGAUAAUGCUAAACGAUAAUGUAAAGAAAGCCAGCACAAUAUCACGCUAAAGGAAGGCUUCGACAAAAACAGUAACAUUCAAAAUAAAAAAUCUAAUUAAAAUGAGUAUGAAUAUUUAUGUAAUUAAAAAAUAGAACGUGAAAAAUAAUUAUUCGAUACAAGAAGCACAAUAAAUUAACUUUUUUUAGUAAAAACCAAUCAAAAUAAGUGUAUAAUCAUAAUUAGCACAAUUGUAGGGGAUGAUAUAACUUUGUUUUAAAAUUAUUAUUUACCAUACAUAAUAUGUAUUAUCUGAUAAGUUUAAAAAAUAUAUAUAAUUUGCAAUAUAAAUAAUAUAAAAAUGCUUAAUUUAUGUAUGCUUCAUUAUUUUAAGGAUAUGAUGUACUAUUUGAUCAAAAUAUUAUAAAAUAUAAUGACUUAGAACAAUUGAAAUUCUCAAAGCCAUUUUUUUAAAAAUUAAUGAUACGUAGUAUGUAUUAUCUUAUACAUUUUUUAAAAAUAAUUUGAAAUAUAAAUAAUACGAAAAUACUGAAUUAGUGUUUACAAUUAUUUUAGGGAUAUGAUAUAAUAUUUGAAUUCAAAAUAUUAUGAAAUCUAAUGAAUGAGAAAUUGUUGAAAAUAUGUUAGCCAUUUUUCAGGACAAUGGUUAUUAAACGUAAGAUUUAUGAAUGUUACAUAAUUUCAUUUAAAUACUAAAAAUCUGAAAAUUUGUUAUGAAUUAUAGUCAUAUAUUUAGAGAAUAUUGGAAAAAUCCUGUCAAUCCCGAAAAUAUCAUAAAUUAGUUAAAAUUUUCCACAACUGAUGUUAAAUUGAAAAUACAUUGUCUUUGUGACUGUGUGAUAUUUCGCCUCAAUACUUGCAUCAUGCAAAUACACUGUAUCUGUAAAAAAAAGUAUUAUCCUACAUAAAGGGUAUAAGGGUAAUAAAAGUAAAAAAAAUUGAAACCAUCCAUUUUACAAAAAAAAAUCUUAUUAAUUUUCAAAUUUGCUACUUUUACUUUUACUAUACUAAAUUUUGUUGUAUUCAUGAUUAUCUCUCAAAGGAAAGAUUGGAUUCACACUCAACUUUAGCCCAAACCCAAAAGUAAUUGGGUCCAAACUCAUUUAAAGGCCAUGAGAAAUCUAUGUAAAUAAUGGUUCAUUUCUUUGUUUUAAUGGGAAGAAGAGGCAGAGGUUGGAAGAAAUGCAGACUCAAGAUUUGAAGUUCAAGCUCUAAAGUACUUAAUAAUAUAACUCUUAUUAGGCUUUGAAGAUCGGAGCUUUGCUACUCUUAAAUUUUGAAGACUUCUAAGUCAAUCGAAGCUGAUUAACAAGCCAAAGGCCGAACCAAGCUAAUCAACAAGCUAAAUAACAAUCUAAGUUGAUCAACAAGCCAAAGGUCGAUCUAAGAAGAUUGACAAUCCCAAUAGGACAAUUAUUCAAGAAGAGAUUCAAAGAUCCAUCCUUCAUGAGGCCAACAAGCCCACAUGCCCAGAAGAUAGUCAAGCUAAAAGGGUUGUUGUUGUUGUUUGUUUGUUUGUUAUUGUUGUUGUUGUUACAUAAGUAUCAUAUCUGUUUUACGCGAUUUUCAUGUUUUAAUUCAGGAUAAGUAGAAAAGAAGAAAUGAGCAAAUCACUAAGGACAUCUCGCGCACAAACAACGCGAUGGGAAAUCGCCUAACGAAGAACAUCUAUAGGCGAGGAACCAUGUCAUAUCAGGUGAGGAAGGCUCUAUAAAAGACAAGAAUGGUAGUUGGAGUGAUGUGACUUCAUAGGAUCGAAAUCGGCACUGACAAUCUCAGAAGAAUAGAAGUUUCCCGCCCGAAGCUAUCUAUAAAAAUACUUCAUCAUCAUCAAGAGCUGGAGGUCUGAAUGGGCCAAAAAUGGAGCCUACGUGAGCCAACUAGGGGUCUAAACAGACCAUGAAAGAAAGUCACGAUGAACCACAAGUGUAAAGAGUUCAGUUUUCUCCUUCUUCUAUGGUCUUCCUGUGAGUGGGAGCUUGAAGCUUGGGUAGAGAAGAAGAUCAUUCCCUUCUAUCCCCUAACUUGUAAUAUUGUUUUAUUGUUAUGUCUUUCAUUUUUGUUUUUCUUGUAAUAUAUAUUGUGCAUGUCGUACGUGGCCUACGACCUACAUUCUUUGUAUAUAUUACAUACUUAUACCCUUUUCAAUCUAACAUUCCUUUACUUUCCACCAAUCAAUGUGUUGUUUGUAGCUUAGGUAGAUGAUAAAGUUCUUGACAAGAAGAGUCACUUAUAAAAAAUUUCAAUGUAGGACUCUCAUUCCUUCAAAGGGGUGUUCCUAUGGGUCACUCACAUGAUUAGGGGUGUUCCUAUGGUCUUAAUCACCCAGUAGUGGGUCCCUUACUGGUAUUUUUAUAUACUCAUUCUUUCUCUAUAUUUAAUAUUUCAGGCAAAGGUAGAUGAUCUGAAAAGCUGGUGAGCGAAAGGAAGAAUUUGUGACAUGCCAUAUAGGGACUUAUUUUAAAAAAAUUGUUAGUAUCCACGGGUCACGUUUUUAAAUUAUUUUUAUUGGUUUUAUCGAUAAAUUUAUGUCCUUUGAACAUUUAUUUGAUAGUUAAUUUUAUAAAAAUUCUAGUUUUUUUAUUUUUAAGAAAUUUUCUUUUGAUAUUUAUCUUUUAGAGAGAAGAUAUUUGUUUAGAAAGAAAAAAAUAAUAAUAAAAUAAUUAUAUUUUUUUUGAAAAAUAUAAUUAUUUGUAAAAGUAUAAUUAUUUUGGUAAAAGAAUAAAGUUGAUUGAACAGAAAGUUAAGUGAAGAGAGAGAAAAGAUGAAUAAAUAUGUAUAUUUUUAUAUAUUUUUUUUUAAUAAGGAUAUUUGAAAAUAAUUAAAAAAAAUUUGGGUUAUUUGAAAAAGGAAAAAGAAAACCGAGUAAUUAGGAGAAGGAAAUAAUAACAAUUUAUUAUUACUAUUAGUUACUAAUAUUAAAGAGGGUUCUCGCACUCCGUGCAAGUUAAUCAUUAUUCACCUUCUUCUUCAUUGGAGAAUCCCUAGCCCGUCGUUGUCACUGUGCAUCUCCGGCCGCCGUGAAUUCUACAAUCAACUCAGCUCCUCCACUCGACUAGCACUCAAAUGAAGUCGUUCAGCGUAGCCAGUCGAAGUUCUUCGUUCGCAUCAGAUCCUUCAUCAAGCCUAGACCUUCACCGGCAGCCAUCCUCUCGAUCGUCCUUCGUUCAUCCACGCUGUAGGUUUCAUCUAGCUGAGUCUAUUCCUCCGUCCCUUCAGUCCAAGCUGCUUCUCCGUUCGUGAGUUGAGCUCCCCAUACCCGGAGUUCCUUCCCCAUCUCCCAACCGUGUGAUUUUUGGAUUAAAUAUUAAAUUUUUGGUAAAAAAUAAAUUAAUUUUGGAUUAAGUUAGGUUGUUUUCUUAAAUUUGGAUUUUUCUCUACAAGGUUCACUUUGCUAAUAUUUUGAAAAAGUAAUUGGUGGAAUUUUCCCUAAUCAAAGUUGAAUCGGUUUCAACCUACUUUAGGUAAGUUGAUUUAAAAGGAUUUUUGGGUCUUUAGGCGAAACGGUUAAUUUUAUUAAUUUUAAUAGUUGAUUUCUCGUAGGAGUGGUUCGUUGGAAAAUCUUUGACU
rnacentral:lncRNA from 1 species